UGCGAGGGUGCUCCUGGCACCAUAACCACUACAGUGAGCUGUAAUGGUUAUGGUGCUUGGAGCAUAUCUUUU